CAGUAACUAUAUCACCAUAUAUUUUAAAGUGCUUCUGAAAAAUGAUAGGUUUGAACCAGUAAUAAAAGUCUUAAAUUACUGGAAGGCCAUUUUUAUUAGGAUGGACCGCGCAAAAGUAGACUGGGACCAUCUAUUUGCAGAUAAGUUUGCAUCUGCACAGUGAGAAGCAUUCAAAGGAUAACUCGCAGGGACAACGUGUUCCUGUAAGGAUAAAAGCCUGGGGUAAAAAUACAGGGGACUUUGGAUGUUGAGGGAUAUUGAGGGUUGAAUGAAGAGGAGAAAGACAAUAUAUGAGAGGUACAGCUAAUUAAUGGGAGAGGCCUGUUAACGUAUAAAAAGUAUAGGAAAGACAUUAGGAAGGCAAGAGGGGUUACAAAAAUCGCUGGCGGACAGUAUUAUGGCAAAUCUAAAGGCAUUCUUGAAAUACAUUAAGGGUAAAGGAGAGACCAGUGAAAAAGUAGAGCCCAUUAAGAUCAACAGAGUAAUUUGUGCAUGGAGCCAGAAGAUAUAAAUAAGGUUUUAAAUGAAUACUUUUCAUUAGUAUUCAUAAAGGAAAUAGACUUUGUGGCUGGAGAAUUCAAUAAAUGGGAAGGUGAGAGUCCAGAGAAGGUCCCCAUAAGUAAAGAGAAGGUGCUCAAUGCCCCAGCCGACUCAAAGGUUGGAUAAAUCCCAGGACUGAAUGGCAUUUAUCUAAUGUGGUUACAGGAGGCGAGAAAAAAGAAUGCUGAUACUCUGGCUGACCUUUCUAAACAUUUGCUGCACAAAAAUAAGUAUACCCUUAGGAUCAAGACUGACUUGUUUCCAAUCUACUUCUAUGAAUUCUGAGGCAGCUGAUGAGGCCAGUGUUGAUCUGGUGUCUGAAGACUGCUACAGGUGGAUCAGGAGCCGUUAAAUGACGCAUUUUCUGUAAACUCCAGAGACGAUUGUGCAUGAAAACCCCAGGAGAUCAGCAGUUUCUGAGAUACUCAAACCACCCCGUCUGGUACCAACAAUUAUUCCAUGGUCAAAGUCACUCAGGUCACAUUUCUUCCCCAUUCUGAUGUUUCAUCUGACCAAGAACUGAAACUCUUGAUCACACCUGCAUGCUUUCAUGCAUUGAGUUGCUGCCACAUGAUUGGCUGAUUAGACCAUAAGACAUAGAAGCAGAACUAGGCCAUUCAGCCCAUUAUGUCUGCUCCACCAUUCCAUCACGGCUAAUUUAUUAGCACUCUCAACCCCAUCUCCUGCCUUCUCUCCUCAAACCCUGAUACCCUAACUAAUCAAGAACAUCUCAACCUCCACUUUAAACGUACCCAACGACUUGGCCUCCACAGCUGUCUGUGGGAAUGAAUUCCACAGAUUCACCACCCCCUGGCUGAAGAAAUUCCUCCUCAUCUCUGUUCUAAAUGAACAUCCCUCUAUUCUGAGGGUGUGCCUUCUAGCCUUAGAAUCUCCAACUAUAUAAAACAUCCUCUCCACAUCCACUUUAUCUGGGCCUUUCAUUAAUCAAUAGGUUUCAAUGUGAUUCCCCCCUCAUUCUUAUAAACUCCAGCAAGUGCAGGCCCAAAGCCAUCAAAUGGAACUCAUAUGUGAAACCCAUCCAUUCCAGGAAUCAUUCUCGUGAACCUCCUCUGGAUCCUCUCCAAUGCCAGCAAGUUUUCUUAGAUAAGGGACCCAAAACUGCUCACAAUGCCUCUAUCACCGUUGCCAGCAGCCCAUUCCACGCACUCACCACUCUCUUGGAUAAUUAUGUCUGCGGGCAGGAACAAGCACGAACAAAUUGGGAUAUAAACACCUACAAUGGUUGGUAUAUAGGCUUGUAUGCAACAUUUUGGACCAGUGGAAAUGGUCCAGAAGGGUUGUAUGGAAACUAUUAUUACCAUUUUUCUUAACAACUAAUUUCAUUACUUAGCCUAAUAGGUUAGA